rnacentral:lncRNA from 1 species
UUUUUUCAUUUUUUUUGCGUUUCUUUUUGAAAAUAAAUAUGCUAUGAUGCACAUGAUGCAGACACAACUGGCUGGCGAUGCAUCUCUGAUCACAAAGUCGAAGCUUCGGUCUAAACUCAGAACCCAAAUCCAACUUGAAAACCCAAGGUCCACUGAAUAUACCGUUGUCUGAACCCAAAGUCACCAACAGAACCAUAAGUCACCAACAGUACCUGUAAUGAUGAACCCUUCCCCACUCACGGGUGUAGUCUAGGCCAGGGUAAGGUCAAGAGAAACGCAGGAUAAACAACCCUUUCAAGAAUAUCAUCCUGUGCACACCCGAUG